UAUGAAGAUGAUGAGCAAUCU
rnacentral:piRNA from 1 species